GUGCUUGCUUCGGCGGCACACAUACUACAAUUGGAACAAUACAGAGAUUAGCAUGGCCCCUGUGCAAGGAUGACACGCAAAUUCGUGAAGCAUUCCAUAUAUAU
ensembl:snRNA U6 U6 spliceosomal RNA